GAGCAAUCGCGUUCCGAGUCUGGUGGAACUUGGAAGCUUCGGUCAUGUCAGAUUUAGUUUUCUGGGAAAAAUAAAAUGUACCUCCUAAUUGAUGUGGGAUUUGAACUAGCUCUUAAUUAUUUGUAUGGCCCCGUAUUGUUGGAAUGGUUGGGAUUCGAUCAGGAGGUAGAUAUUGUUAAGCUUCCAAUCGAGACUUAGGCCAUGUUUGUUUAUUAGAAAAUAGUUUUCGAGAAAUUAUUUUCUAAACUUUUAUGUGUUUGUUUGUCAUUAGAAAAGUUGAUCAACUGAAAACACUUUCCGGUCAACGAAAAACACUUUUCAGUCAAAAAAAAAAAUUUGACUUGGUUUUUAGGAAAGUAUUUUCCCUUUAGCUGUGUUUGUUUUCCGGAAAGUGGUUUCCGGGAAAUCACUUUCCAAACUUUCUUGUGUUUGUUUGCCAGUAGGAAAGUUGGUUAAUGGAAAACACUUUCCAGUAAAAGAAAAAUUUGGCUUGGUUUUCAGGAAAAUAUUUUCCUAAAAAAUUUAAGGGGAAAACACUUUUCAAAAGUUGUGAAAAAUUUAAAAAUGUCAUUAUUUGCUGAUUAUAUCAAAUUUGAUCCUCAAAUUUUUGAUUGCUAUAUAUAUUUUGUUUUGAAUAUUUAUUUUUCAAUUUUAUCUCUUAAAAUUUUAUUUUUAUAUUAACUUUGGUUCUUAUUUUUAUAAUUGCUAUUUGCUUUUUCCUUAUCAUUUUUUUAUUGAAAUUUUUUAUUUAUCAAAUUUGAUCCUCAUUCUUUUGAUUGUUACUUAUUUUAUUUGAAAUAAUUUAUGAAAUGUUGAUUAUUAUUAUUUUAAUUUCUUCAUUUUUAUUUUUUUUAAUUUUUUAGAUUUGAUCCCUAUUAUUUUGAUUAUUAUUUAUUUUAUUUGAGAUAAUUUAUGAAUUUGUUUUUCAAUUUCAUUCUCAUUCAACUUUUUAAUUUGUAAGAUUUGUUCCUCAUUAUUUUAAUAAACUUGAGAAAAAUAAAAUAUUAAUAAGUUAUUUUCCAGUUCAUUUUCCAUGACAUAACCAAACACUGGAAAGUAUUUUCCAACUCAUUUUCCAUUACACUACCAAACAUGAAAAAAUACUUUUUUGGAAUUCACUUUCUCUGGAAUUUACUUUUCAAAAGGAAACUACUUUCCAGCAAACAAACGGAGCCUUAAUAACAUGUUAUUUAAUUAACAUGGUUAGAAUGUUUGAAAUCUUUUUUGAAUUUAAAAUUUAAUUCAUAAAAAAUGAUAAAAAGGAG
rnacentral:lncRNA from 1 species